CUUGGUCAUUUAGAGGAAGUAAAAGUCGUAACAAGGUUUCCGUAGGUGAACCUGCGGAAGGAUCAUUACCUAGAGUUGUAGGCUUUGCCUGCUAUCUCUUACCCAUGUCUUUUGAGUACCUUACGUUUCCUCGGUGGGUUCGCCCACCGAUUGGACAAACUUAAACCCUUUGCAGUUGAAAUCAGCGUCUGAAAAAACUUAAUAGUUACAACUUUCAACAACGGAUCUCUUGGUUCUGGCAUCGAUGAAGAACGCAGCGAAAUGCGAUAAGUAGUGUGAAUUGCAGAAUUCAGUGAAUCAUCGAAUCUUUGAACGCACAUUGCGCCCCUUGGUAUUCCAUGGGGCAUGCCUGUUCGAGCGUCAUUUGUACCUUCAAGCUCUGCUUGGUGUUGGGUGUUUGUCUCCUGUAGACUCGCCUUAAAACAAUUGGCAGCCGGCGUGUUGAUUUCGGAGCGCAGUACAUCUCGCGCUUUGCACUCAUAACGACGACAUCCAAAAGUACAUUUUUACACUCU
rnacentral:rRNA from 1 species